CUCCCAAAGUGCUGGGAUUACAGGCGUGAGCCACCGCGCCCAGCCAGGCCAAUUGUCUUCUUGCCCUUGUACAAUUUCCUCCCCAUUAAGUGUGGAAUAGACUUAACCAAUUUGUUUCUAAGGAGUAGACUAUAACAAAAAUGACAGGAUGUCACUUCUGAGAUUAGGUUGCAAAAAGACUUUGGUUUCCAUCUUGGUUGCUCUCUCAUUCAGGUCAUUACCUGCCAGAGGUGGCUUCAAAGGUUUGUAAUCUAUGCAGUCAAGACAGAGUCCUGGGCUUAGAAGGACUUUGCACUUCGUUUAAUGCUUUGCUGUCACUGUCUUGAAAUUCUGAAUAAUUUUUGAACUAAGGGCCCUGUGUUUUUAUUUUGUAUUGGGCCCAACACAUAUAGUUGGUCCUGCCAGCUGCCAUGUUGUGAAUAUGGAGAAGCCAGAAUGGGGAGGAACUCAGGCCUGCCAACAGCUGCAUGAGUGAGCCUGGAAGCAGAUCCUCCAGCCUCAGUAGACCCUUGAGAUAACUGCAAUCUCACGAGAGACCUCGAACCAGAGUGCUGUGCUAGAGUUGGAUUUCAGCCACAGCUUGUUCAUGUUCUUGACCUCUUUUGUGCUAUCCACAACCUGCCCGAUCACAAGCUUCAACCCUGCCUGUUGAGCCUCAGAAAAAUAGAGAAAUGGAGCACAAGUAAUUGUUUACCCUGGGCACGUGGACAAGGUCUGAUACAUUGUCUUUGGAUGAACAGGCUUCAUAUCUUCCUUACC
rnacentral:lncRNA from 1 species